CCUACGGGUGGCAGCAGUGGGGAAUAUUGGACAAUGGGGGGAACCCUGAUCCAGCCAUGUCGCGUGUGUGAAGAAGGCCCUCGGGUUGUAAAGCACUUUCAGUGAGGAAGAACGCCUGGUGGUUAAUACCCAUCAGGAAAGACAUCACUCACAGAAGAAGCACCGGCUAACUCCGUGCCAGCAGCCGCGGUAAUACGGAGGGUGCGAGCGUUAAUCGGAAUUACUGGGCGUAAAGCGCGCGUAGGUGGCUUGAUAAGCCGGUUGUGAAAGCCCCGGGCUCAACCUGGGAACGGCAUCCGGAACUGUCAAGCUAGAGUGCAGGAGAGGAAGGUAGAAUUCCCGGUGUAGCGGUGAAAUGCGUAGAGAUCGGGAGGAAUACCAGUGGCGAAGGCGGCCUUCUGGACUGACACUGACACUGAGGUGCGAAAGCGUGGGUAGCAAACAGGAUUAGAUACCCGGGUAGUC
rnacentral:rRNA from 1 species